UUAAAAAGGAAUACCUAUAGAAAUGAAAUAAAGAAGAGGACGUACAGGAAAAUCUGAUAGACUUGCUAAAAUUAAAUAAAACAUCAGUAUAUGAUUGGAUAUGUUGAUAUUCACGUGACACCGUGUGGCAGAAAUAAAUAAGAAUAAGUAAUUAUGAUUAUAAUGAUAGUGAUACUAUAAAAUAAUAAACGAAAAGCUAGAUGCUAAGUAAUGUGUUUUGAUUAAUUAGACUUGCUCAUCCGUUAUACAAUUAUCUUCCUCACAAGGUACUACGUCUGGACAUAAGGUGGGUUCGCCCUUUGCUGGAAAACGUGGAUCUCGACCUGAAAGUCAUCUAUCUUGCAAGAGACCCUCGUGCGCUAAUUUACUCCCGAAGACAGGACCCCCGCUGCAACACCCGAGAGUGCGAGGACCCCGUGCAAGUUUGUGCCAAGUUGCAGGAGGAUCUGGCGGAGGUCCCCUUCCUGCUGCAAGAUUUCCCUGACAGCUUUACGUACUUGAAAUACGAGGACCUGGCUGUGGAUACAAACGGCACGGCGGUACAGGAUCUCCUGCUCUUUGUAGAAACGGACGAAUCGCCGUCAGGAAGUGUCCAAAGUGGCGUGGCUAGUGACGCGUUCCUCUGGCGAAAGGGUAUGGCUUUCGACGAGGUUCUGGAGGUACAGGAUGUUUGUGAAGUUCCCCUGAGGGCACUGGGGUACCGGAUUUUCGUGACUGAAGAAGAGUUUAGUAAUCCCUCCGUUCCUAUAAUUAAACAUGUCUACAACUAGUGACUGACGUUUUGUGAUGGAUUAAUUUUAGUGCUUAGAAAAGACAUGCUAUGGCCUCUCACUCUAUACAAAUUAUCAAAAAUUUGCAACAGCGAGUGACAGAGAAAGAAAAGAAAAAGCUCUAUCAGAGAAUGCCUUUAGGAUUAUACAAUUUAUAUCGCUUAAAAGAUGCGGAAAUUUACACAAAAUAUAGAUAAAAAAGAAAAUAUUUUUAGAACGACGUGGUUAAUGGUUCUGGUGUUUUCCAAUAUAAAUGAAUCUCCAAAUGUAUGUAUAUAUGCUAAUCCAAUUUUAACCACAGUUAUCGGAAGAGGAAAAUUCAGUCACAUUUAUAUAUAAUUAUAGAAAAUGAGUUCGUUAGCUGUAAAAAAGGACCAACCCUUGAUUAUCGCAAAGACUAUUUUUCGAUAUGAAUUCUAGUAAGACUGAUUUGCAGUUUGAAUACUAAUAAUAAAAGAAAAUAAAAAAAGGAGAUAAUGAAAAGAACUACGUCACUUUUAUUCAUAUUUCCUACGUAAGUCAUAUAAUUAUCAAACAGUAUGUAAAA